UGCGCAGUGCGUCGACAGCCACCGCCUGAGUCAGCGCGGCAAUGGUGCAAGUGCUACAUGCACAUGUGACUUACGCGCGGGAGAUGUCCAAAAGACCAGCUCUAGUCGUUGCCUCGCCCCGUCAUCUGACCUUUUUGGUUUGCUUUUCGCGGGCAUGCGCCAGCUGCGUGAUCCACGCUCAUGGCGCUCGCAAGUUUAAGACAAGAGCGAGCUACAUCACCCAUGGCCGUUCUCGCAUAUGCUUGCCUUCCAACAUCGCGCCCUCCGCUUCGGUCGCUGUCGACGCUGGCCUGCUACAGGCCAAGCUCACCAAGAAGGGUGGUGCGCCCAAGAAGGCCGCUCCCGCCUCGGCCCAGAAGAAGACCAUCCGGUGCGUGGAAGCGUAGUUGCGAGGCCCAGGUCGAAUGUGCCGGGGCACAUGGAUAUCCGGAGCGCGCGCUUCCCCGCCGCUUCUACCCGCCCGCAUGUGUUAGCAUUGCUGGUUUGCGUCGCUUGCGACCAGCCUAUCAUGGAACAUGGGCUUAAGCAUGCAAGCGCGGCUUCAUGCGAGUCGCUCCUGAUCCGACAACAACUCCGAGACGUGUCUCUAACCUUCACUUCUUAACCAUUACGCUCGCAUUGCCUCCCUGCAGUGAGAAGGCUGGCUGGUGGAGCAACGGCGGCAAUGAGAAGCUGUCGGCUUUCUACGGCCCUGACCGUGGGUAAGCACCGCAGCACGUGCCCGCUCGUCCUUCUUCGUCUACGCAACCCGCGGCCUCUCGCUCGCGCAUGACCAUGGUUUCUGCAUUUCCCUAAUCGCGCCGUUGCUCUGUACAUUUGUUCCUGCCUGCAGUCUGUGGCUGGGCCCCCUGAGCGGCACCACUCCCGCCUACCUGACUGGCGAGUUCCCCGGCGACUACGGCUGGGACUCCGCCGGUCUGUCGGCUGACCCCGAGACCUUCAAGCGCUACCGCGAGCUGGAGCUGAUCCACGCCCGCUGGGCUAUGCUGGGCGCUCUGGGCUGCAUCACCCCCGAGCUG
rnacentral:lncRNA from 1 species